rnacentral:rRNA from 1 species
AAAGGAAUAGACGGGGGCCCGCACAAGCGGAGGAACAUGUGGUUUAAUUCGAUGAUACGCGAGGAACCUUACCCGGGCUUGAAAUGCAGAGGAAUAACUUGGAAACAGGUUAGUCAGCAAUGACCUCUGUGUAGGUGCUGCAUGGUUGUCGUCAGCUCGUGCCGUGAGGUGUCGGCUUAAGUGCCAUAACGAGCGCAACCCUUGUCAUUAGUUACUAACAGGUUAAGCUGAGGACUCUAAUGAGACUGCCACCGUAAGGUGCGAGGAAGGUGGGGAUGACGUCAAAUCAGCACGGCCCUUACGUCCGGGGCGACACACGUGUUACAAUGGGGGGUACAGAAAGCAGCUACUUGGUGACAAGAUGCUAAUCUCCAAAACCUCUCUCAGUUCGGAUCGAAGUCUGCAACUCGACUUCGUGAAGCUGGAUUCGCUAGUAAUCGCGCAUCAGCCAUGGCGCGGUGAAUACGUUCCCGGGCCUUGUACACACCGCCCGU